rnacentral:rRNA from 1 species
UACGAAGGGGGCUAGCGUUGCUCGGAAUUACUGGGCGUAAAGCGCACGUAGGCGGCUUCUUAAGUCGGUGGCGAAAUCCUGGAGCUCAACUCCAGAACUGCCUUCGAUACUGGGAAGCUCGAGUCCGGGAGAGGUGAGUGGAACUGCGAGUGUAGAGGUGAAAUUCGUAGAUAUUCGCAAGAACACCAGUGGCGAAGGCGGCUCACUGGCCCGGUACUGACGCUGAGGUGCGAAAGCGUGGGAGCAAACAGGG